rnacentral:rRNA from 1 species
AUUGAACGCUGGCGGCAGGCCUAACACAUGCAAGUCGAGCGGGGGUAGCAAUACCCUAGCGGCGAACGGGUGAGGAAUGCUUGGGAAUCUGCCUGGUAGUGGGGGAUAACGUUCCGAAAGGAACGCUAAUACCGCAUACGUCCUACGGGAGAAAGGGGGGGGAUCUUCGGACCUCUCGCUAUCAGAUGAGCCCAAGCCGGAUUAGCUAGUUGGUGGGUAAAGGCCCACCAAGGCGACGAUCCGUAGCUGGUCUGAGAGGAUGAUCAGCCACACUGGAACUGAGACACGGUCCAGACUCCUACGGGAGGCAGCAUGGGGAAUAUUGGACAAUGGCGAAAGCCUGAUCCAGCCAUGCCGCGUGUGUGAAGAAG